rnacentral:lncRNA from 1 species
UUUGGGAGGACUGCAUGAUGAAUUGUCAUCCACUGAUGAGAACUCAUCAUUAUUAUGGUAAUACAGUUUUAUCUGAUAGAAAAAAAAUUGUAAAUGCUUCAAUUCAUGUAUUAACACACAUUCAUAAUUCAACUGAGUGGAUGGUGGAAUGUGAUAGUCAGAAAACAAGCACAUUUGCAGCAAGAGACAACAUUGUGUUGCCACUCUGUGUGUUUCCUCAGUUUCGGAGGGUUAAGUCAUCGCACUUUGCAUAAACAUGCGAGCCAGAAAGAUUCAAAAACUCCCCGAGCUUAAACAGAAUAAAACUCUAAGACUUCUGAAAAUUCAUCACCACAGCAAACAUAUACCUAGUUAGUUAGCAUUAGCCUCAUUCUGUUUUAUUUUGCUUAAUAAUUCAAUUCUUUACUGUUUCCUUUAUCAACUCCUGAGGAUUUUCUGUGCAGGAAAAAGUAAGGCUUUACACAAUUCCUAUGUGUCAUGAACAAAGCUACAGAACAGACAGGACUUAAAGACAGAGACAGAGUUGGUUCCAAAAUCCAAACAGAGGAUUUAUUUUCAGGCAAAGUUUGGUACACAAAAAGGCAGUCAGACAAGGCAGAGUUAUCCAAAAUGUUGGACAAAAGGUAAGGUUAAAAAACAAGCAAGGAUCAAACACAACUAUGACCUGGGAGGAACAACGAACUGGCAACAAGACUGUGACAAAAGAGGGAUUAUAUACACAAAGUGCUGGGGUGUGAUUGGACACAGGUGGAGAAUACACAAUCAGAGAUGGCGGAGAGUGAUCACAAAAUAAAACAGGAAGCACAAGACAUGAAGCAUGAAGAGAAAAAUAAAAUACUUAACCGACAUGACACUAUGUCACCAUAACCAAUUUUAUCACCAGUUUUAUUACUUUCACUGCUCUGCUGAGACAGGAAGCCUGGCUUAUGACUAGAUCUGUACAGGUCAGCUGAUCGUUGAUGUCGGAAAAAUUAAACUGCAUCUGACUUGCAGCCAGCUGAGAAGAACGACAGAGAUAGUGGACUUCUUUUUCUUGGAUAUCUUUUACUUGCAAGGAGUCAGCAGCUUACAACAAAGGCAGCUUCCUCUGACUGAGGAAUUCAGAUUUUUACACAUCCUUUAUAUCCUUUAUGCAGUCAAGAAACAGACACCCCCGCCCAUUAACAUCAUCUCACAAGUGGCAUGACAUUACAACAGUAACCAAACAGGGCACAGGUUGCAGCUGUGGUCUGUACUGGGAGAACAAAGAUAGCUUAGUUCAUCAUCAGGUUCCUGCUUAUCAGUUCAAUGUCACACUGUUGGGAAAACGACCUGUGAGUGAAAUUAUAGCAUUCGUCUAGUUGCAUGGCUUCAGUGGAAAAGUAUCAGUCCCAACUCCAAGGCCAUACGUCUCCUUUCCCAUGCUCAUUAAAAGAAACAGAUAUGACUCUGCAAGCACUCACACCAAGUGAGUUUCAGUAAAUGAUGAUUAACAUACUUAUAUAAUGAUAAAAUACACGUGGUAGCAUACACAUACAAUUUUUCUUUCAGUUGAAAUAACCACAAAUUGGUUAACAGACCAAAACAAAGAUGGCGGCCCUUAUUCAGCACAAUCAGAUGACAACAAAAAUGACACUUUUCAACCCUCACCUGCCGUAAACACAGUGUCUACUGCAAUGAUUUACUUCACUCGCUGUGUGUCUUUUGCGCUCAUUGUCCCUAGCGUUGUGUCGUGUUAUUGUUUCCAGAGUCAUAUGGCAAUAAAAGGAAGGGCAUCAUGAGAGAUACCUAAUAGUUGCAGCCAAAUGAUGCUGAUGCUAGUGAAGUAGCUGAAACAGGUUUUCAUCUCAACAUAACUCAUUUUCUUUCUGGGAUAGAAAACCAAUAUCUUUGACAGCUAAUUGCAAAUUCCAUUUGAUUUCUUACUCAUUUAAGUAUUUUUGUUUUCAACUUGAUCUAAAGUCUCACUAAGACCAAGAAGAAACUAUUUGUAUGCAGCCUCUGAAUAUUUUUGUUUAGGUAGUAUCUCUGCCAAGCAGACAAAUUCCAACUUUAAUGAAAUAUUUUUAAACCAAGUCUAGAAAAAUUCCUUUCAAAGUGGAGACUUGAGCUAUGUCAGCACUGAAUGAGUUUUGAGGGAUCAUGGAUUCUUUUUCGAAAAAGGGUUUAAGUGCAUCCCUGAACGCUGUGGGAUGUACCCCUCUCUGCAUGGAGUGGUUAAAAAUUCUGAGGACAGUGAAUUAAAAACAUCUCUGAAACAGAAGGUUGCAUCAGGUCGAAUCUGCAAGGACUGGGAGGACUCUCAUUUUGUUACCACUGCCUGAAUAUUUCAUGGUCAACAGGGCUGAACUUUUCACUGGGGUUUCACACUGAAUGAUGGGUGUUUCUUGACAGUUAAUGGAUACAAGAUUUGAUGUUGGUUGUCAUGCUGAUGUUGGUUAAAUUUAUAAAAUUGCCAAACAAUCUUCAUUUUCACCUUAUUACAAGCUCAUUUAAAUUUUGGGGUUUUUGAAAUUCUAAUUUGGCAUGUCUAUGAUUAUAUUAAACUUCCAUAUACAGCUCGAAUAAAUAGAAUAUAUUUCAGAAAAAGUAGAGAGAGUUGGAUGUUCUCCAGGAUGUCAACAGCAGAGGCUGACACCCACAUGAGAUCCACAACUUGGUCACAUUACAUCAAAUAAAUAUGCUUCCUUGUCAGAACAUAUUUUCCCACAUUCCCUUCAAGUGGACCAAGUAGGACUGGGAAAAGGACACCCACGUGAGAUCCACAACUUGGUCACAUAGCAUCAAAUAGAAAUGCCUCCUUGUCAGAACAAUUUCCUCAUAAUUACUCCUGCCCAGUUAUCUGAUGCUAAAGCUUAAAUGAACAUCAAAUGAUUACACGGACAUGUCAAGUUAACAGGCGCCAAUAAGUCAGAUUCACUAAGUAGUAUAACAUUUAUAUGGUAGUAUCACUGUCCUCCCUAUAAUUCUCAAUUUCUCAGCCCUACCAUCUGUAUAAACUUACAAACAUGACAAGUAGAUGAGGAAAUCUACUCAAACCCACUCCCAGAGAGACGAGCACUGUCAUAUUAAGAAUUACAGUAGGAUGAGGUUAAUUUACUGUUAAAUAUAGAACCAUUCAGAAACAGUAAAGAGUGCCAUGGAAGAAAAAUGCCCGUUAGAUGUUGAUGAAAAGUGUCAGGAGGACUCUGUGGUAGAACCGAAGAAGAAAGAGAAACAAGCGCACUUAGACUGAGAAAGUUACAAACUGCUGGGUCACAGGCUGUGGACCUCUAUCUCUUGUUUCCAUGACACACACACACACACACACAUUCAUAUAUACACACACACACACACGCACGCACUAUCUGUGUUGUGUUGCGUUAAAGCUGCCUUUCUCUAAAACGCUUUUCUGAUUUGGCUAAUCUCCCAGUGGAUCCUCUCAGGGGCUGCAGCCUUCCACUGAGCCUCAGUCCCAUGUGUCUGAGUUGAUGUGUAUGUGUCUGUACGUGUGUGUUAUGGCCGAGCUUAAACGUAUCGUUAGUGCAUGUCAUUAAAAAAAUACAGUGAAUAAACACACACGGACGCACACACAGGUUCUCAUGCACACAUCAGACACAAAAUACAACCUGAGAGAGAAAAUGUGUAAAAGUCUGACUCCAGAAUAUGAAUGUCUUUGUGCCUUAAAGGUGUUUAAGCAUCAUGUUAAGUCCUGCAUGAGUCAACAAUGUAAAAAUAAAAGUUCUAAUGCAUGAUUUCUUCUAUACUUGGUAUCAAACGCUGUAUCUCAGGUGUGGCUUUCACAGUCUCCUCCUAUCUUUAUGACAGCUCUGUUCACCAGCACCACUGCUGAGCAGUAAUCUCAUUAUCUGUGACUAUUCUCUGAAUAUCCAGAUAAUACCGAGAUUAGUCCUCAUGCUCUGGUUACCCUCAGCUAUGAAGCAGUUGUUACGAACAACAGAUGUCAGAGCAGAUGCACCAGCCAGUUGAGAUAGACUAGCAAAGACUCUGGUAUGGUACCACUCAGAUGGUUAUUAUACAAAAAGGUGACACACAAACGGUUGAAGGGCAUGCACAGAAAUUUCCAACCUGCCUUUUAUUAUGUUUGUUUUCAAUGUAGCGGAGAAAUAUCGGAAUUUAGAGGGUUUUAACUCAAAUACCUGUUAACAAAACCAAACAAAUUCACUUCAAAUCCUGUUAUAAGAGGCUUAAAGACCAAUUUCUUAUUCACUCUAACCCUUGUUUUGGCAGAGGAUAUAAUAGGAGAUAUGAUUUCUAAAAGUGGACAAAAAUAACAAAGGCACAAAGGCAACUACAUGUUUUCCAUGUUUUUCUUCCCCUCUUUUGAUGUAAGCAUGGUUGGCUCUUUUCCAGGUGAUGUGACAUUAUUCAUUCAAAUUAGUCCACAAAGUCAAGUGAACAUCAGCCCCAAAAAUAUCCCAGUCCUGUUUUCACGCUCCAGCUGUUAAAUUGCUGCAGAGGUUUAAGAGAUUCUUGGUAAGACAGGGGAAGAUGUUAAAGCCACUCCAGUAAGCGUGCACCAAAGUUUUACAUUUUGGUAGGUUUUGGGCUUUAUUAUCUCCUGCUACUGCAAAAAGUUAGCAUUAAUGAUUAUUAGAUGACAUGUGUUACCUCUCACUGAAUAAAUAAAUAAACAAAUAAAGAAAGAAAGAAAGAAAGAAAGAAAUUGCCCUGGCGUUCAUUUCUCAUGUCAAAUUUGUUCAGAAGUCAAUCUUGAGAUGAAAUACUACUAGAAAAACAUGAGCUUACUUUUGGAGCCCACUUCAAUGCUUCUCUUUGGUUAUAACACGGAUACUUUAGUGAACAGGAAAUAACUUGUGACUGUUGCUAAGAUACACUAAAAGUCCUCAAGUGUUGUUCAAACAUUAUGAAGUCGUACGAUCCUUUCCUUUCUGCUUUCAAAGACCGUCUUUGCAGCAAAAUAUUUUCCAUCAGAAAAACAUUUUUCCACUUUAUAAAAUAUUUGUAUGUUUUCAAACUUAUUUGCGUUUACUCACAAAUAUUUUGUGUUCUUGUACAACAUUUUUGUGUUCUGUAAAAUUUUGGGGGAUUUUUCCAAAUAUUUUCCAUAUUAUGAUUAUUAUGAUAUUUCUUAAAAUAUUUGUGCUAUUGAUCUUCAGGGCCACCGUACAAACACUCCGUCCUGUGCAAAUCAUUUCGAAAACCUUGCUCAGUCCUUCCUUUUGAAACAAGUUGAAAUUUGCAGGGUAGGUUAACUCUUUUCAGCAGUUUGGAAGAGCUUACCUCCCUCCAUCAUCUCAUCUACAGCUACCUGUCCUUUC